UACAGAGGGUGCGAGCGUUGUUCGGAAUUACUGGGCGUAAAGGGCGCGUAGGCGGCCUCUUAAGUCGAACGUGAAAUCCCCGGGCUCAACCCGGGAACUGCGUCCGAUACUGGGAGGCUUGAAUCCGGGAGAGGGAUGUGGAAUUCCAGGUGUAGCGGUGAAAUGCGUAGAUAUCUGGAGGAACACCGGUGGCGAAGGCGGCAUCCUGGACCGGUAUUGACGCUGAGGCGCGAAAGCUAGGGGAGCAAACGGG
rnacentral:rRNA from 1 species